GCCGCGCUCAAAAGCAGCAGCGCACGCACCACCACCACCACCGCACCACCAUCCGCCUCGCUCGCACUGACAGACAGGCAGGCAGAGAGAGAGAGAGAGCGCGAGCCGGAUUGAUUGCCGAGGGCAGAGCAGCGGCAGAGGGAGCAGCAACAGCAACAGUCCACGACCGAUCGCCCGGCCCGCGCGCAGGCAGGCAGCAGCCAUGAACCACCUGACGCCGGCGCUCCACGGGGCGAUGCGGCCGCCCUCGGCGCAGGGGCAGGGGCUGGCCCGGUACGGCUCCGCGCCGGGCUCGCUCCUGGCCGCCAUCGCCGACUCCGUCACCCGCGGCGACCCCGCGCCGCCGCCGCCGCCCGUGAGCCGGUUCUACUCCGCCGAGUCCUCGGGGCUCACCUCCUGCGACUCCAGCUGCCGCACCGACUGCGGACGCCCGCCCCUCGAGCGGGCGUACGGCGGCUCCGGCGAGAUCCGCGUGCCGCCGCCGCUGCAGCAGCAGCAGCACCACCUGCUGGCUCCCCCCGCGGCCUCCCCGCUGUUCCGCCACAGCAGCUCCCCCGCCGGGCUGCUCUCCCGCCUCAUGACCGACCCGCACGGAAUGGCGGCGAGCGGAGGAGCGAUGGGGAGCUACACGCAGGCGGGCAGCGACGCCGCGCUGGGCCCCGGCCACGGCCACGGCCACGCGCAGCUCAGCUCGCAGUGGAGCUUCUCCAGGCAGGACCUGCCGCAGAUCUCGGAGAUGGGGAUGAUACCGGCCGACAUCGGGGAGAGCAUCGUGGGCGCCGGCGGGUGCAACAGCUCCAGCGACGCCGCGCAGUCCUCCUCCUACCUCUCCAGGACCUUCUCCGUCGGCUCCUGGGACGACACCAACUCCAUCAUGUUCUCGUCUGCCCCCUGCAAGAAGCCCAAGGUGGACCCCGCCGCCGGCGCCGACGACAUGGUCACCAACUUCAGCACCAUUGACCCGCAGUUCGGCCUGUCCAACUCGUCCCUGGAGCUGCCCGGCAUGGACGACUACCUGCAGCUGCAGCAGGACUCCGUCGCCUGCAGAGUGCGUGCGAGGCGUGGCUGCGCGACUCACCCACGGAGCAUUGCCGAGAGGGAAAGAAGGACGAGGAUCAGCAAGAGGCUGAAGAAGCUGCAAGACCUCGUGCCCAACAUGGACAAGCGUGUUUAUUGGUGUUUCUCGUGAACACGCAGCAAACGAAUACGUCGGACAUGUUGGACCUUGCUGUGGAGUACAUCAAAGAGCUCAAGGACCAAGUUGAGAAGCUAAAACACGACCAAGCAAACUGCUGUUGCCUAGGCAACAAGAGCUGCUGCUGAUGCUGGAGAAGCAGACGGAGGAGGGUUUUUACGCCGUAACAAUGUGACUGUUAAACCAGAGCUGUUGCUUCAGGAGACCAGGCCGCGGGCAGAAGUGCGUGACAUGUGGAGCGGCUUCCAUGACUCAGCUUCCUCUUUUCUUGGUUGUUCCACGGACUAGCGACCGGGGUGCCAACGGCUUGAAGACUAGGAGAUAACAAGUAGGACGAUGUUGUAAUUUAGUUACCGCGACGCGGUGGCUCUGGCUUUCGUGUAAAGAAGUCCUCCCUUUCAACGCGACUGGGAUUGUUGUUGCUGGUAAAAUUGUUGUAGGAAUAUCAUCUGUGCUCCAUUUUUCA